GAAUGUAUUAAUCAAAUGUUACGUUAUGUUAAUUGAUAAAGGUAAGUCCAUGUAAAUUGGAACGUUACGUUAUCAUUGUGCAGAAUUCAGAACAUGAACUUCUGUUUUUAUGAACCCCUUGAAUGCUCAGCAGCAGGGAUGUCUCUCUUCAGAGUCCAACAGUAAUCAGCCAUCAUAACUGCAUCCCAGCGUCCCUGAUACCUGCUCUCCAUCUCUUUUAUGUCCUGAUGGAAUCUCUCCACCUGCUCAUCACUCAGUGAUCCCAGAUUCUCAGGAAACCUGAACAUUUAGCUCCUUUUGGGAAAAAGGAUGUGGAGCAUCAAUUAAAACCACACUGGAGGAAUCUUUGUCACUGAUGUCAGGAACUUCUACAAAGACAGGUACUGGAAUUUCAUCACAGUGAGCUACAGGACGACGUGCUGAUUCACUGUCAGGAUACUUGAGGCUGCUUCGGUUCUUUCUGUUGAUCCCAGUCACAUCAAUAGCCCAGAAGUAGCUAUUGAUGUCGGCUCCCUCCAAACCAUGGGAAUUCCAAACUUCAGACAACUCUUCUUGCCUUUAGUCACUGACGCAGAUACUCGGUGCAUGACAUGCCAUGUGUGGCGCCCAAGCUUCAUCUUGGUCACCAAGUUUAAUCCCAAAAUAAUCAUGUCGUUCAGCUAUUACUUCAGGAGCAGUGCUUUUGCUGCCUUGGCCCAAGUACACGCUCAUCAAGUAUUCCUUAUGCAGCUCCAGUCGGCAGCAGCAGCAGUGUCCUUCUUUCCCCCGCUCUCCCCCCUGACUGUGUCUUCUGCUCCAGUCUCCAGGGGUCGUCAGUCUGCCAUCACCCCUUCAAAUGUAGUGACUCACAACCAGGUGUCUUGGAGAUAUUUUUAAGAAAUGAAAACUUGCAUUCCUUGACAACCAAGUGAACACUGAAGCGAACACAUUGAGAAGCAAAGGAAACACUGCAGAGGCAUGGACUGCACCAAGACUAAACAAGAACAGGACCAAACCAAAAAAGUCAUCAAUAUAAAACCCAUUUGUUAUUUGAUAACUUUAUUAUCAAGUUAAAAAAGACAAUGAAUUACAAUAUUUACAGAAUAUCCAGAGAUAAAUGGAAUAAAGUUGUAAACAAUCAUUCUAGGCAACAUCACAACCCACCAUCAGGUAAUCAGAUUGAUAUGGGAAUAAAGGCAAGAAGGAGCAAUUCUAAUGUCAAACUAGGGAGACAACAGUCUGCAAAGAGAAAUGCAUCAUGAACAAACAAAACUUUAUGUACAAAUAUCCAGUGUGUCAUCAGAAGAGGCUUCACUUUGGGGAUUAAGAGUCAUUCUUCUAUUGUAACGAUCACGCAAUCACCAUUUGGUCUGGCAGCAUUUCACCAGAAUGGUUUAAAUAAAUGUCCUGGAUCAGACUAAGUGACAAGCUUCUUCACCAAGCUCAUUUAUACAACAUGGUUACUUUGAAAAGCUACAAGCUGGUCCAGAAAUGUAUAACAAAAGAACUGUAUAUGAUUCAGCGCUCUACCUGUGUGACAGGUAGUAUAGUCUCAGGAGUACAAGGAGAUGCUACAGAACUACCUGUUAAUGACAGCCAGUGAAAGGAGCAAACAACCUUUGGAGACACAAUAGUAAGGUAACACAUUCUUGUCAUGAGAAAGUGAAAUCUCAUGAAUUAUGUCAUUUAGAUGUAAAA
ensembl:lncRNA